CGCCGGCUGCCCCCCAGAGGAUCAAUUUUGGCAAGCCGAGGGCCGGCGCUUUUUAGACUGGGUCUUUUUGCUUUCCACAGAAAGAAAAAGAAAGUUUGCAGGGUUUCACCGGAGCAAACGCUCUGGGUGGCUCGCGAAGGCACCACGUGACACCUGGACACGCAGCUAGAGCCCUGUCCAAUGACUUGCGACUUGGGGUGUUCAAAAAAGGCUUUUGCACGAUCACUAGUAAGACCUCGUUAGCUUGAAAACGAAACAAGGCGUGUUCCGAAAAUGCAAGAUGUUUAAAGCUAAGUUUUUUUUAAAAAGCACGAUUAGCCAAUAUGAAGCGGCGAUGCGGAAAGUUUCCCCACUGUGGUUCUAUAGGGGAAGAGAAUCUCUUGUAGCGACUGGAAAUGUUCAGCAACUUGGCCCUGACCGGAGCUGGUUGGCUCUGGGAAGGCGAGUGGUGGCAGAGAGGGUCAGAGAGGGAGAAAAAGACCACGCUUUGAAAUUCGGGAAGCAACCCGAUGCUGCGGAGUAUAUUGAUACCCAGGAUUCUGUCGAGAGGAUGCCAUUGAUCGCGGGUGAUAAAUGUGCAGAUAUUGUUUUAUAUUAGUAUUCAGAUGUUACAAAAUCAUUUAUCUCUACAGAAGGUAAACUGAGAAUAGGAACUGUAUCUGCCGUUUGUUGCAAACAUUUAGGUAGAAUCUGUGACAUAGUGAAUUCCUUACUUUUGAAUGAGAGAAAUACGAUGACUUCCAGUUUCUUCAUUUUGUUUUAAAAUGUCCUCCCCUUAAAGCGCACACAACACAUGCGAAGGUUACAAGCCUUCCCGUAACAAUAUCCGGGGAUGACGCUGAAAGUAUAUGUUGGUGUCUUACACCUAGUCGGUCCUCAGAAAAUAGUGGCGUGAAUCACACAAAUACAUAAUUUAGAAGAGAUUUUUUUUUUUUGCUAAAAAAUCUAAGGUCUCAUUCAGUUAUGUUUCAUAAAUGUUCUACUUCGAUGUCCUUCUCCCUUAAAUAAAACUCAAAGCUCAUACGGACUCGUUUUUUGACACUUUUAACUACGGUUAUUUGGAGGCUGGCGUGUAUGCGGCUCUAAAAGCUUUUUAAAAAGAACUUCGGAUUUUGACAGAAGAGCGCCCUCUGCUGCCGAAUAGUUUAUGGGCAACGUUCCUGAAAAGUGAAACACUUGGGGAUGCCCAUCGCAAAGCUGGCAAGAGCUGCUCAUCUUGAGGAGGAAAGAGCUACAUAUUCAGAGGUUAGCUGCUGGUACAGCUUUGAGUCACUAGGAGUUCCCCGACCAGAGAUCGAACCCAGGCCCCCUGUAGUGGAAGAAAGGAGUCUUAACCGUUGGACCACCAGGGAAGUCCCAACACCCCUCUGCUUGUGGAGAAGCCCUUCCAUGUGAUUUGGAGUUUGGUUCAGCAGUGGGCAAUGACCCAAGUCAGACUAAUCAACAUCCUCUCCAGGACGUCUGCUCAAAUUCUCAGGAAAGAGAUAAACCCUGUCUCUCUGGGAUUGUCAGCUGUAAGGAUCAGGUCAGAUCAAUAGGGAGAAGAUCAGUAAUCUUGUCUAUCAUUUGGAGAGAGCCAUCUGAGACUAAAACCAACCUAGAGGGAAGUAUAUCUAAGAGAUGGAGAGAAAGAUGGAUUCCUGAAUAAAUUAGGCAAAUCUAUAGACCUAAUCAUGAAUAGUUCAUUCCCUCUUGGUUAUGUGAUGCAAUGAAUAUACUUCCUUUUAAAAAAAGUAAUCUAGUUUGAAUAGAAUGUCUGUCAUUUGCAAUCAGAGUCCAGACCAAUACUGGAAGUAAGAGUAGAUGCAGGGAGAUGGAUUCAGUAGGUAGGAAUGAUAUAGGUGAGAGAUGAUGAUUGGACUAGUGUGGUCAUAAUAGAGAUGGAGAGAAGCCAACACACUUGGAAUCUGUUUAGGAGAUACAAUUGGAAGGAUUGAACAAUUGAUUAGACAAGGGGGUGAAGGGAAAAGGGGAGUGUCAAAAAUAUUGGCUGGUUCUCUACCUUGCAUAUCUGAGGAUGCCAUUCACUAAGGUAGGAAACA